rnacentral:rRNA from 1 species
UACGUAGGGACCAAGCGUUGUUCGGAUUUACUGGGCGUAAAGGGCUCGUAGGCGGCCAACUAAGUCAGACGUGAAAUCCCCAGGCUCAACCUGGGAACUGCGUCUGAUACUGGAUGGCUUGAAUCCGGGAGAGGGAUGCAGAAUUCCAGGUGUAGCGGUGAAAUGCGUAGAUAUCUGGAGGAAUACCGGUGGCGAAGGCGGCAUCCUGGACCGGCAUUGACGCUGAGGAGCGAAAGCCAGGGGAGCAAACGGG